CGAACACGCACGUUAUUGGAGGAUAGAGGAUUGAGUAAGAGAGCCCAAAAAUUUGAUUGGAGGAGCCGACUCCGGAUGUGCUUGACUGAACACUGAUUGGAGAACAAGGGGUCAGGAAGAGCAGUUCCGCACGAGGAUUGGGCGGUGGCGUGUCCCAUGGAAACGGAAUCCAGAACUGCAGCCAGGGUUUUUCACGGGGGCGGAGCCGGCUCUUCCCCAGGCGCCUGCGCCUAACCGGUUCCCCGGCGCCAUUUUGUCCCGGCAGCAGCAGCCCGCAGCUCUAUCCCAUUUUCUGUGUCUGGAGGGAAGGACGCGGACUCUCUCGGAGUUGUGCUGAAGACAACAGACACCUCCAUGACAACCCAAAGUAUCACAGAGGAAAUGAAAAGCUGUGGACUCAUUCAAAGUUAAUUAAGAUUAGGUAUGACCAUGGAAGACUUGUGUAUGACCAUGGAAGACUUCUAGAGAAUCUUGACUGGUGAUGUGGAAAAAGAGACCCAGAAGAACAAAAAAACAGGUGACUGUAAUGCUGGUCCCCCUGUGCAGGAACAGCUCAGGAGACUGUCGGAGACAUGAGUGUCCUUGUAGAAGCCAGCAGUCUUGUUGGCUGUCAGGUCCUCAGGACUUAGUAUUAUUACAUGUCAUCCUUUCAUGUGGCAUGAAUGAGGAUUUAUAAAGCCCUAUUACGGUUUGGUUAUGCAGUCCAAACAGACUUACAAAGAUUUACAGAUUAAUUUUACUGCUCAAGCAUAGAGCAGAGACUCCUCAUUAGCUAAUUUGUGCAUACUACACUUUCCGUACACGUGUUACUGCAAAAAUGUCCCUACAGUGUUACCAGAGCUGGGGCAGGAAGUAAGGGUGGAAUUCCUGAGCUCACUGACACUGAUGCUGAAGGAAGCAGGAGGUGGGCGGAGCUGGCAGUGGUGAGAGCCACGUGGAUACAUGGGAUGGUGGAGGAGUCAGGAAAAGUUAGUAGCUAGCUGAGACUGUCCUAGCAAAAGACCAACAGCUUUAUUUUCUUCAAAAUUUAAUAAUAAACUGUAGAAAUAAACUAUUUUGAAAGAGUAGUUCAUAGAUUCCAUUGAGAAUGUAAUUAAUUGACCUGUUUAGUAUUUUUUAUUGAAAAAAUAAAUUGAGAUUCUUUUUUUUUUUUUAAAGCUUGUUUUCUCCUUUGGGGGGGGGGGGGCCUGUUUCGAGACAGGGUUUCUCUGUGUAGCCCUGGCUGUCCUGGAACUCACUCUGUAGACCAGGCUGGCCUCAAACUCAGAAAUCCACCUGCUUCUGCCUCCCGAGUUCUGGGAUUAAAGGCGUGCGCCACCACGCCGGGCUUGUUUUCUCCCUUUUUAAACAUUCUUUCAGGGGCCAGUGCGCAUGUGGGUGAAGCUGAAAGGACAGCUGUGGGAGGGUUGCUUCUCUCCAUCCACAGUGUAGGCUAGGUCAUCAGCCUAGCAGUGGGUACCCUUCCUACAUCAUCUCAUCCCUGGGCCCGCCCUUCCGCCUGUCUGUCUGUCUGUCCGUCUCUUCCUCCCUCCUCUAAAUACAUUUAUAUGGUUCCAUUUU
rnacentral:lncRNA from 1 species